CUGCCSUCUCCUCGCUUCCCACCCUGCCUUCUCAGCUGACCUGAGAUGGCCUCCCCCCCACCCCCACCCAAAAAAGAGAAGAACUCUUCUGCUUCCCGUGCCCACGAGGGUUGAAGACAGUCACCCAAGAUUCCGCAUGACUGCAAGUAUAAAUCUGACGGAAGUAAUUACCCAUCAUCCUCCAGGGGCCCGGAGCGCGCUUCCCGCCUCCUCUUCAACUUCGACGUAGUUCAACCUUUUUCCACUCAGAUGGGAGGAGAGUUGUGGUGCGUGAGCGGGCAAAGUCGUACUUGGAGUUAAUUGCCUCGGGCAGGUGAGGACAUCAGUUCCAGAGUGUGCCCAGACAGAUGGCUCUCUCAAGGAAGGUUCAAUCAACUAAUUGUGAAGUUCUGAUAGGACUGUGGGGAGGUGCUGACCUAGAGCUGGGGCUCGGGGACACGAGGCGGCCCGAGGACUAAAUUAAAACUUUUAUUUGGAAUUCCGAGAUCAGGAAUACCGCUUUCAGCUAUGCAUAAACACAUGGACAUACGGAGCCAAGGCCGCGCUCAAGCAUUUGUCCUUGCUGCUGCCUCGAGCUGUGGCCUUAAUUGCCACGGGAGUGGAAGGAGGUGUAAAUAAAGUUGUUGACUGAGGUGAAAAUUCCUCUGCAAAAAAAGAAAAUGAUUCCCAUACUCGUAGGGUUCAUGGACAGAAAGCAAAUGCAAAACGGGUUGGUUUAAAGGGGCCAGUCAAAACAGUAAACUUUCAGAGACUUAUAUAUACAGUUAUAUGUCAAAAAAUUUGAAUAUUGCAUAAAAGUGCAAUAUUUCUCGCCAGUCCUCUCAGAAAGUGAAAGUUAUUUUACAAAAAUUCGUUACACAUUUUUUAAAAUUUUAUUUUAUUAAUUGUAUUUUUUUUUUUUUUUUGCAGUUUUUGCUGAUUAUGGCUUACAAGCGAAGAACACGCAAAAUUUAAUGUCUCAGAAAAUUAGAAUAGCACAUCAAAACAAUAGAAAAAAGGAUGCCAAGAACAUAUUUUUGACAUUCAGUACUUGAUUGAGCCUACUCUUGCAUGCAUGGUCAUCAAAGCAACUUUUGGUACAUUUGGCAGUGUGGGCAGGCGCCACGUUCUGCUGGAAAAUAAAAUCUGCAUCUCCAUACAGUUUGCUAACAGGGGGGGAGAAUGAAGAGGUCUAGAAUUUCCUGGUAGAUGGCUGCGUCUACGGCAUAUGGCACACCAGACCAUCACUGACUGUGGAAACUUCCCACUGGACUUCAAGCAACAUGGAUUUUAUGCCUCUCUGCUCUUCCUCCAGGAAACAGGACUCUGGACGAUUGUGCGACAGUCCCAUUUCCUUCCUCCUUAGACCAUGUAACAUCCUCUGACGUUGUCUUUAGGUUCAGGAGAGGCUCAACAUGGCAUUUGUCUAGUAUGUGUCUGUGCAUGGUGGCUCUCCUGGAAUGGAUUUUACUUGACCAUCCUAUCAUGGCUGCAGUUUUCCCAGUUGCUGAUUCAAAUUUUUCUACCACAGUUCUUCCUUGCACUCAACCUUCUGUAAAUAUGCUUGGAUAGAGAACUCUCUAGCCUUGCCGUUGCCGUCUUAUGUAUUUCCGCUAAUCUCGCUUUACAGCUCAGUAUGUGCUUUCUUCCAUUCACUUGGAUUUUUCCAGUCGAAUUUCAACUUGGUCAAUCAGAAGAAGUUGUGAACGACCACAUUGGUUUUCUGCACUACUUUAGAAUUGUAGUCUGCCUGCAGCUUCAGCAGUGACAGCAGUGGAAGUGAACAAAGAUGUUCAAUCCAUGUUGGUGCACGCUUCCAAAUUUUUGGAUUAUCAUCAACAGCAAUUUCCAGUAAGCUGCUCUAAAUCAAAGAAUGAGCAACACUUUUGGUAAGACUUGAAGCUACCACUGCAUUGUAGUUCUACAAAGAGCUAAAUCUUGCUAUUCCAGUUUUUGCAGCAUUUAAUAAUGCUCAUCACGCAAUAGUCAAAAACAAAUAGGACUUUUUACAGUCCUUAGAUUUUAAAUCUCCGCUACAAUUUUUAGCUGCUGAACAGGCACCAGUAGCUUUCUAACAAUGUCGCUUUUUGAUCGUCGGCUUCUCUAUUUCUGUGACUGGGAGAGAGCUGGAUUCCUGCUCCAACCCAGCAAAGUUGAUUGGCGAUCGAUCUCUCAUGAUGUGAGAUUCUCCCACUUGCUAAACAGGAGGGGGGGAAAUUCAUUAUGAUUUAACAUCAGCAUUAUAGAUGUCACCAGCAACCUAAUCAAUCAAAAAGUUCAGUAUUUGUAAUUUUUUUAAAUUUCCCCUCAUUGAAUCAAUUUGUCGUGUGUCAAGAAUGAAAAAGGAUACAGUGAGUUCUCAAAUCGAUGCUGUAAUGGAGAACACCGAAAAGAUUGUUUUUUGUCAACUGAAUAUAACAUUGGUUUAUUAGCUUAUCUUCAGAUUGAUAUCUAUUACAACACAAAUGUACAUCUUAUAAAGGGCGGUGUGAUCAAUGUCCAACAUUGCUAUGUCAAAUUAAUCUAAAACCAAACUACUGAAAUUGUUUAUUACUUGGUAAAAAAAACAACAUGUGAGGAUGAGAGAAGUUGAGCUAAUUUAGUCUGAUUAUGACACAACUGAGUUCAGUACAAUGUAAAGCACUGUAUAACUUGGCAUGAAAAUCAAUUAAACAUUUGUUUCCCA